rnacentral:misc_RNA from 1 species
AAGUCGUAACAAGGUUUCCGUAGGUGAACCUGCGGAAGGAUCAUUAUUGAAUAAACCUGGCUUGGUUGAUGCUGGUCUUUUCGGAGACAUGUGCACGCCUUGUCAUCUUUAUAUCUCCACCUGUGCACUUUUUGUAGACCUGGAUUCAACUUUCCGAGGAAACUCGGUUGUGAGGAAUUGCUUAAUGGGCUUUCCUUGUUAGUUUCCAGGGCUAUGUUUUCAUAUACACCUUAUGAAUGUAACAGAAUGUCAUUAUUAGGCUUAAUUGCCUUAUAAACUAUAUACAACUUUCAGCAACGGAUCUCUUGGCUCUC